GAUUUCUGGGCUCAAGAAUUUGGCCGGCCACGGUUUCGUGUGUUAGUGCUUUGUUCUGUGUCCAUCCUUCCAAUUGCUAUUGGCUAUUCUUCAUUGAUUGGUCAGUAGUAUUGGAUCUUUUACUUUGAAAAAAUUAGAGUGUUUCAAGCAGGCUUUAUGCUAUGAAUACAUUAGCAUGGAAUAAUAAUUUAGGACUUUGGUCUUAUUUUGUUGGUUUCUAGGACUAAAGUAAUGAUUGAUAGGGACAGUUGGGGGUGCUAGUAUUCAGCGGCCAGAGGUGAAAUUCUUGGAUUCGCUGAAGACUAACUUAUGCGAAAGCAUU
rnacentral:rRNA from 1 species